rnacentral:misc_RNA from 1 species
AAGUCGUAACAAGGUUUCCGUAGGUGAACCUGCGGAAGGAUCAUUACUAAUGUCUAAUACACAUUCUUAAUACAAAAAACCUUAUGUGCACCUGAUAUGACGUCGGCUGGGAUCAGUUGGCGGUGUUCUAGCCUCGCGCUUGGAUGCCUACUUCUGUUGCCAGCUGACACCAAUUAACUUAUACCAUUAAUGCCUUGAUAUCCGUCCUCGCUUCGAACUUGUGGCAAAGUACUCUGCAAGGGGGAAAAGUUGCAUGAUCUACAGCAGGACAACUAAGGGUAAAAAACUUUUAGCAACGGAUCUCUUGGCUCUC